rnacentral:misc_RNA from 1 species
UUAAGUUCAGCGGGUAGCCCUACCUGAUUUGAGGUCAAUGUCAAAAGAUAUGGGGUGUUGUGAGCGGACUCAGCGACCGGCCGAGACGAAACUUAUUACGUCAGGCGUAGGUCAAAGAGUUCCCACUGAGUCAUUUGAGGCGAGCCUUGUGAGGCAGACGCCCAGGUCCAAGUCCGUCGGCGGUUCAGAAAACCGCUGGG